GUAAAGCGCGCGCAGGCGGCCUUUUAAGUUGGAUGUGAAAGCCUAUGGCUCAACCAUAGAACUGCAUCCAAAACUAUUAGGCUAGAGUGUGGGAGAGGAAGAUGGAAUUAGUUGUGUAGGGGUAAAAUCCGUAGAGAUAACUAGGAAUACCAAAAGCGAAGGCAAUCUUCUGGAACAUUACUGACGCUGAGGCGCGAAAGCGUGGGGAGCAAACAGGAUUAGAUACCCUGGUAGUCCACGCCCUAAACGAUGAAUGUUAGUCGUCGGGUAGCUAGUCUAUUCGGUGAUGCAGCUAACGCAUUAAACAUUCCGCCUGGGGAGUACGGUCGCAAGAUUAAAACUCAAAGGAAUAGACGGGGACCCGCACAAGUGGUGGAGCAUGUGGUUUAAUUCGAAGAUACGCGAAGAACCUUACCUAGCCUUGACAUAUAUUAGAACUCAGCAGAGAUGCAGAGGUGCCUUCGGGAGCUUUUAUACAGGUGCUGCACGGCUGUCGUCAGCUCGUGUCGUGAGAUGUUGGGUUAAGUCCCGCAACGAGCGCAACCCUCGUCACUAGUUACUAACGGUUCGGCCGAGGACUCUAGUGAGACUGCCUUCGUAAGGAGGAGGAAGGUGAGGGCGACGUCAAGUCAUCAUGGCCCUUACGGCUAGGGCAACACACGUGCUACAAUGGCCAGGACAGUGAGACGCAAUACCGCGAGGUGGAGCAAAUCUAUAAACCUGGUCUCAGUUCGGAUUGUAGUCUGCAACUCGACUACAUGAAGCUGGAUCACUAGUAA
rnacentral:rRNA from 1 species